ACAGCCUUUUUAGUGCCGAAAAGUUCGGGUUCCCAUUGACUUCAAUGGGGUUCGGCCAAACUUUUCAAACCCGAACAUCCAGGUGUUCGCUCAACUCUACUAGCUAGUUGUAGAUCUGCAGGAGGGGCCAAGAGACUUCUGUGGCACCGAGGAAAUUCUCCAACACCUGUCGGAGUACUGGAGGUCUCUCCUUUUAAUAGAGCACCCGACGCUUCGUGCUCAAAUAAAGGAUGUAAGUUUGAUUUUAAGUUUUUAAAGCCAGUCAGGGAAAAUCGAUUUUCUACCAUGAAGCAUGUGUCAAAUCGAAUAUUCCCUAAAAUUCAUAUCAAAGUCCACUUAAUGGACUUCAAUUUGCUCAA